UCUGCUCAGGAUGAACGCUGGCGGCGUGCCUAAUACAUGCAAGUCGAGCGAACAGACGAGGAGCUUGCUCCUCUGACGUUAGCGGCGGACGGGUGAGUAACACGUGGAUAACCUACCUAUAAGACUGGGAUAACUUCGGGAAACCGGAGCUAAUACCGGAUAAUAUAUUGAACCGCAUGGUUCAAUAGUGAAAGACGGUUUUGCUGUCACUUAUAGAUGGAUCCGCGCCGCAUUAGCUAGUUGGUAAGGUAACGGCUUACCAAGGCAACGAUGCGUAGCCGACCUGAGAGGGUGAUCGGCCACACUGGAACUGAGACACGGUCCAGACUCCUACGGGAGGCAGCAGUAGGGAAUCUUCCGCAAUGGGCGAAAGCCUGACGGAGCAACGCCGCGUGAGUGAUGAAGGUCUUCGGAUCGUAAAACUCUGUUAUUAGGGAAGAACAAAUGUGUAAGUAACUAUGCACGUCUUGACGGUACCUAAUCAGAAAGCCACGGCUAACUACGUGCCAGCAGCCGCGGUAAUACGUAGGUGGCAAGCGUUAUCCGGAAUUAUUGGGCGUAAAGCGCGCGUAGGCGGUUUUUUAAGUCUGAUGUGAAAGCCCACGGCUCAACCGUGGAGGGUCAUUGGAAACUGGAAAACUUGAGUGCAGAAGAGGAAAGUGGAAUUCCAUGUGUAGCGGUGAAAUGCGCAGAGAUAUGGAGGAACACCAGUGGCGAAGGCGACUUUCUGGUCUGUAACUGACGCUGAUGUGCGAAAGCGUGGGGAUCAAACAGGAUUAGAUACCCUGGUAGUCCACGCCGUAAACGAUGAGUGCUAAGUGUUAGGGGGUUUCCGCCCCUUAGUGCUGCAGCUAAC
rnacentral:rRNA from 1 species